rnacentral:rRNA from 1 species
CCUACGGGAGGCAGCAGUGAGGAAUAUUGGUCAAUGGGCGAGAGCCUGAACCAGCCAAGUCGCGUGAGGGAGUACUGCCCUAUGGGUUGUAAACUUCUUUUAUAUGGGAAUAAAAUGUUCCACGUGUGGGAUUUUGUAUGUACCAUAUGAAUAAGGAUCGGCUAACUCCGUUCCAGCAGCCGCGGUAAUACGGAGGAUCCGAGCGUUAUCCGGAUUUAUUGGGUUUAAAGGGAGCGUAGGUGGAUUGUUAAGUCAGUUGUGAAAGUUUGCGGCUCAACCGUAAAAUUGCAGUUGAAACGGGCAGUCUUGAGUACAGUAGAGGUGGGCGGAAUGCGUGGUGUAGCGGUGAAAUGCUUAGAUAUCACGAAGAACUCCGAUUGCGAAGGCAGCUCACUGGACUGCAACUGACACUGAGGCUCGAAAGUGUGGGUAUCAAACAGGAUUAGAUACCCCUGUAGUC